rnacentral:piRNA from 1 species
UGGAAUUAAAGAUGCUGCCACCAUGCCCA